GACUGGCAUAUGAGGAGCAAAGGUGUGUAACACAUAUGAUGUAUUUAGCUAGUGAUACCACUACCAGUCUUAAAUGUAUAACUGAUGAUGACAAAGUUUUUUUUCUCUGCAUAAUAAUAGGAACCCAGGCAGUAGCAUCGUUUCACAAUGUUUCCAUCAUCAUCAUCAGUGGAUGCCUUUGCCGUCUGUAGCCUGAGAUUUCAGAUUUGCAGCAAAAAAAAAUUGAUUUUCUCAUUUAUUGGAAUGCUGUGCAGGUAUUUGUACCUUGCAGCCAUCCAUUACAAUGUCACCAAGCCGUAACAAAAGCAGGAGAGGGAAAGUACAAGGCUAUGUUCCCAAAACACACAAGUGACAUACCUUAUGUGGAUGAUGUGAUCAGGCUUGUGUUUGAUGAGGUAUUUGAAGAUAAGCUGAAGGAAGCCCUGAUUCCAAUGGACCUGGCAUCACAGUUUGAGAGACCUUCAAAGGAGGACGUGAUUGCAUGCCAUCUUCAGUGCAG